rnacentral:rRNA from 1 species
CCUACGUGUGGCAGCAGUGAGGAAUAUUGGUCAAUGGACGGAAGUCUGAACCAGCCAUGCCGCGUGCAGGAAGACGGCUCUAUGAGUUGUAAACUGCUUUUGUACAAGGGUAAACCUGAAUACGUGUAUUCAGCUGAAAGUACUGUACGAAUAAGGAUCGGCUAACUCCGUGCAAGCAGCCGCGGUAAUACGGAGGAUCCAAGCGUUAGCCGGAUUGAUUGGGUGUAAAGGGUGCGUAGGCGGAUUGAUAAGUUAGAGGUGAAAUGUCCGAGCUUAACUCGGGAACUGCCUCUAAUACUGUUGAUCUAGAGAGUAGAUGCGGUAGGCGGAAUGUAGGGUGUAGCGGUGAAAUGCUUAGAGAUCAUACAGAACACCGAUUGCGAAGGCAGCUUACCAAUCUAUAUCUGACGUUGAGGCACGAAAGCGUGGGGAGCAAACAGGAUUAGAUACCCGAGUAGUC